rnacentral:rRNA from 1 species
UAGGGAAUUUCCCAAUGGGCGAAAGCCUGACGGAGCAAUACCGCGUGAGGGAUGACGGCCUGUGGGUUGUAAACCUCUUUUCUCAAGGAAGAAGUUCUGACGGUACUUGAGGAAUAAGCAUCGGCUAACUCUGUGCCAGCAGCCGCGGUAAUAA